CCUGAACGCUGGCGGCGUGGCUAAGACAUGCAAGUCGAACGGACGUAGCAAUACGUCAGUGGCGGACGGGUGAGUAAUGAAUCGCUAAUGUACCCUAGAGCCUGGGAUAGCUGCCCGAAAGGGCAGGUAAUACCAGAUGAAAUAUUCCGAUCGCAUGGUUGGAAUCUCAAAGCCGUAAGGCACUCCUGGAGCAGGCGAUUUCGUAUCAGCUAGNGGUGAGGUAACGGCUCACCAAGGCGACGACGCGUAGCCGGACUGAGAGGUUGACCGGCCACAUUGGGACUGAGACACUGCCCA
rnacentral:rRNA from 1 species